rnacentral:lncRNA from 1 species
GGAGAUUGAACUCAGGGACACUCAACCACCGAGCCAUAUCCCCAGCCUUAUUUUGUAUUUUAUUUAGAGACAGGUUCUCACUGAGUUGCUUAGCACCUUGUUAUUGCUGAGGCUGGCUUUGAACUAUUUCUCUUCUGUUUAAUUUCUCUUUUUUUAAAUAUCUUUAUUAUUUUUAUGUGGUGCUGAGGAUCGAACCCAGUGCCUCAGACGUGCAAAGCAAGCGCUCCACCGCUGAGCCACAAUCCCAGUGUCCCCUUUUUAUUUUUUGAAACAGGUUCUCAUUAAGUUGCUAAGGCUGGCCUUGAAUUUGUGAACCUCUUGCUCAGCCUCCUGAGUUGCUAGUGUUACAGGUAUGUGCCACUGCACCCAGUUUGGACUUUGUUUUUAAAUUCAGUUUUGUUACCAACCCAGUAGCUUACUUGGUUCUACAUAAACGCACAGAAUAUGGUGUUCUCAGCAAGCUCUCAACCAUAGUCACCUGUUAGAGAAUACAGUACAGGUAGGAAAGAGGAGGGUUGUGGGAGACCUUUAUACUUGCUCUGUACACUUCUGUAUUAAUGUGGAGUAUGGAGGAUGGAUUCCCAUACUGCAUAUAUUCCUGUAGCAAAUAAUUUUCAAAGUUAAAAAUCAAGUGAAACUGUUAAAAGUUGAACUAACCAUCUGGGUGUGGUGGAACACACAUGUAAUCCCAGUGACUUAGAAGGCUGAGGCAGGAGAAUUGCAAGCUCAAGGCCAAUCUCAGUAACUUAGCAAGACCCUGUCUGAAAAUAAAAAAGGACUAUGACUAUAUCAGUGAUAAAGUGCCCCUAGGGUCCAAUCUUCAGUACCAUCAAAAAAAAAAAAAAAGUUAUUGCCCUAGACAUGGUGCAGGAGACUGAAGCAAGAGGGUUACCUGAGCCUAGGAGUUCAGGAUCAUCCUGGACAACAUAAUGAGACCCUAUUUCUUUAUUUAAAAUUUUUUUAAAAAGUUAUCACUACUAAGACAGGAGAAAGCCAAAUCUGAAUUUCUGAAUUGAGUCACAAUUUUUCAAGAAUUAAUAUGUAACUUAUUGAUUUUUGGAUACUACCUUUUCUCCUAAGUGAUGCACAGCAUAUUAAAAUUCUGUGAAAUGAAACUGAGGUUGCACAAUAAGGAGAGAUUUUCUAAUUAAGCAUUAUUAAAACAUUUUUUAAAAGAGAUAAAUAUUGCUCUUUAGGAGGCUUCCUCACAGAAGUUCAGGACAUAACCUUGUAGUUUUUACUUUUACAAAAAAUGUAUUAGAUUCAAAACUAACUAUAUUCCCUUUUCUGAUGUAAUUUUGCUCUUUCUUAAUAUAUUCAGCAGCUGACAAAAGCUUCAAAGUGGUACUUAAAAACAAUUUCAAUUUAAAAAUAUAAGAAUGGCUUUUUCCCCCCUUGAAACAUGGUCUGUUCCUCAGAGCCAUUAGACCAUGACAAUCUGAGAACAUUAACCCCUAUAAUUCUAUUACAAUUCCAGGAAAACUUGUCAACAUAUGACCUCUGGUUUUUCAUAUGUGUUGACCCUGGUAAAUACAGGAAGAGGGUUUGUCACAAGUCAGUGUUUCUGGGUAACCAAUUUGCCUGCUGACUUUAAAAGGAGCUGGAGACGGGUAAUUUGUUUAAAUCACUGCAGCUUUCCACCUGAACAAUUAGACAUUUGAUUAUAACCUGCCCUAUACCCUCCCUCCCUACCCCCACAGAAACGUGAAACAAGGGAAUAGUGGGAACUUAUAUAAAGAAGCACUUCAGGUGUUUUGAGCUGAUACCUGAAGAAAAACAUUAUUUAAACAUUUGCUAAAUAAAAGGCAGAACUGACUCUUCCUUCUAGUCCCACAGGCCUAAAAGUUAAGCACAAAUUUGCUGCUCCUGGAUGUCUAACCAGCUGAUCCUCUUAAAUAGAAGGGAGCUUGAGAGAAUCUCUUUGGGGAGAUGCUCAUUAUUGAACAAAAAGCUUGUAUGUCACCUUGACACUAACAGUUUUCAGGUUUGAGUAAUGCAGUUGUGAAAAAACUAAUCAAAAUGAUGUUCUGGGUUAGGGUUUUAGUCUUUCUUUUUUGAUUAAAAGAAAGAGAAAGAAAGUAAAUAGAACAUUACAGAUAAAGCCCUUGUGUUUGUUUCCCUAAUCCCAUUUCCCUCUCCCUUGGGACAAACAUCAUAAAUUUGGUAUGUAUCUUUCCAGUGUAUCCUUUUUAUAGUUUUAUUAUAUGUAUGGUCUCCAUGAGUAAUAUAGUCCUACUUUCUAUGCUUUUGUAAUUUUUACUUGGUUUGUCUUGACUCCUCCCCCCACAGUGCUGGGUAUCAAACCCAGGCCUUAUACAUAGUGAACAAGCUUUCUACCACUAAGAUUAACCCACCACUCUCAACAUUUCUUUCUGAGAUCUGUCCAGGUUGACCACUUCUAGAUCUAGUGCUUGGGCUUUAGCUGCUCUCUAAUAUUUCCUCAUUUUUUAUUGUAAUACUAAUGGUCUGUAAGGCUGACAAUGUUUUGGUACUAUGGACAAUACUGCAGUGAACACCUUUGCAUGUGUGUCCCAGUACAUACAUACAAGGCAUAUGCAAUUAGAGUGGAAAGCAGGGUGUGAAUCAUGGCUUUGCCAUUUACUAGUUCUGUGACCUUCUGUUACCUGACCUCCUGACCUAAUUUUUUCAUUUGUAAAUUCAGGGGUAUUUUAGUCAGCUAUUUCACUGACCUGACAAGAACAAUUUAGAGGAAGAAAAGUUUAUUUGGGGCUCACAAUUUCAGAGGUCUCAGUUCACAGCUGUCUCCAUUGCUCUGGGCCUAAGGUAAGGCAGAACAUCAUAGCAGAAAGGUAUCACGGAGGAAAGCAGCUCAGGAUGUGGCAAUCAGGAAGCAGAGCUCUACUCAUCAGGGACAAAAUAUAAACCCCAAAGGCACUCCCCCAGGACCUGCCUCCUCCCAACACCCAACUGCCCACAGUUACACCCAUUAAUCUGAUUAGGUCACAGCUUUCCUAAUCCAAUCAUCUCACCUCAAUUUUCUUGCAUUGUUUCACUUGUGAGCUUUUGCAGGACACACAAUCUAAAUCAUAACAAGAGGGAAUAAUAAUCCUUAGAGUUGUGAGAAUUAAAUGAGCCAACCACUUAGAACAGUGCCUGCUACAGAGCAGGAACAAAAUGUCAGCUGUCGUCAUUGUCAAAUGAUCAGACCUGGACAUGUCUUUGCUCGGUGACACCUUGAACAUUACUGCCAAAUUUCUCUUCAUAAUGGUAAUAUCAACUUCCACUCCCACGAGUAAUGUCUGGAAUUUCCUGAUUUUGCCACGUAUCUUAAGACCUUUUAGUCCCUACUUUUAGGGUGAACGUUCAUUUUUUUAUUUGCAACACCAUUACUGCUUGCCUUUGAAAUCUGCUUUAAAACGGGAUUGCCCUCUAGUGGUGAGAGAAGUACACUGCAGUUAUGGGGCAGGAUCCAAAAAAGAACAGAUUUUCUUGUAUCUUGGGGUAAAUUAGGCAAUUUUGGUUGCUAUUAGGUUUGAAUAAGAUCAAUUACAUGAUUUUUCCAUUAUCUACUCUAUUUUUAGGCAGCUUGUACUUCUUACUUUUUCUACUAUGGUGAUAGCCUUUUCUGUAAGUCCAAGAUGAAGGAAGAUCUGUCUGCAAAGCCCAGCCAAGCCUCUUGCAGCUGAAUGCAUCUGGGUCACUGCUCAGAAAAGAGGAGUGAGAUAAAAUAGGAAAAAGGCUACUUACCAAAUGGGCAGGAGACUGCCAUUCCUUGAGCAGUCUUGAAUCUCCAGUGGGAAAGACGGUAAUGUGAACAUCAGUGCUAGUCACACAAGCACCACAGAAGGCUGAGCUGAGUUGACUCAAGAGGGUCGCCAUUAAUAUCUUUCUAGAUUGGCCUCAGAUUACCUGCUGUGAAGACUUCUGGAAUCAGUCUGAAAGAAGUUAACAAUGCUUAAGAUGUUAAAUAUUGAUCAUCAAAGACAUAGAUGCAUUUUAAAAUAUCUGUACAAAAAUGUUCAUGAGAGUUAAGGAUAUAAACAAACUAUAUUAGCCGUGGCGCACACCUGUAAUCCCAGCAACUCAGGAGGCUAAAUUAGGAGAAGGGCAAGUUCAAGGAAAGCCUGGGGAAUUUAGUAAGAACCUGUCUCAAAAUCAGAAGUAAAAAGGGACGUAGCUCAGGUAAAGCGCCGCUGGGUUUGGCUCCCAGUACCACAAAAGAAAAAAAAAAAGUUUUGGAAAUGUUACAUAUCUUUAAAUUACUGUCACUAAAUUUAUAUCAAAAUUUAUAAUAAGAAAAUAAAACCUAAACAACAGCAAGUAAAGUUUGGUUGUAAUUAGAAACACAUUCAGAGCAAUCUGCACUGCCCCACCACGCCAGGUUCGUGUCCAUUUCUAAGCUUCUGUUUGUAAGGAUUCCUUUGCCCAAAACAACUUCUUUCAUCCUUUUGUUCAGCCAUAUCUUUAAUUGUCUAAGUGCCUAAACCCAUACCCCAAUCCUACCCAUCUCCAGCCCAAGUUUUACCUGUUCCCCAGGAAGCAAGUUAGUGGAGAGAGGAGGAAGCUGCAGAAUCAUGCAGAUGUGGGUGUGAGUCCCAGCCCUGCAGAGUUAAGUAAGUCAUUUCACCCUUCCAUGCUUGUUUCUUCAGUGGUAAUUUGGGGAGAGUAGUGAAAUCAGUGCUGUUGGAUAUUAACAUGAGAAGAUGUGACAAACAACAUAGAAUAGGCAUUGGGCAAAUAUUAGUUUGUCCCUCCUCAGAACUGGCUCCACCUUCAUUGAACUCCUGUGGUGCCACUAUUUUUAUCACCCACUUUAAUUUUUUGUUUCUACUUUUGUCUGUCACUACACCGAUUCAGAUAUGAAUAUCAUCUCCCCACUUCAUGAGAAAUGUUUACAGUGCCAAAGAAAUGUGAGGCAUCCAGCAUACUGUCUAUUAAAUGAAUUUUCCUACAUGUGGACACCUUAUUUUCCAUUACUAUAAUCUCCAAUUAAAUGUGUGUAUUGUACUGUAUACAAUGGUGCAUGCCUAUAAUCCUGGC